rnacentral:rRNA from 1 species
GCCCGAGUUUGAUCCUGGCUCAGGACGAACGCUGGCGGCAUGCCUCACACAUGCAAGUCGAACGAUCUCGCUUUUCCUGCUUGCAGGAAAAGCCGAGGGAGUGGCGGACGGGUGAGUAACACGUGGGCAACCUGCCUGUAAGACUGGGAUAACUCCGGGAAACCGGGGCUAAUACCGGAUAACCCGUUCCACCUCAUGGUGGGGCGGUAAAAGAUGGCCUUUGGCUAUCACUUACAGAUGGGCCCGCGGCGCAUUACUAGUUGGUAAGGUAACGGCUUACCAAGGCGACCAUGCGUACCGACCUGAGAGGGUGAUCGGCCACACUGGGACUGAGACACGGCCCAAACUUCUACGGGAGGCAGCAGUAGGGAAUCUUCCGCAAUGGACGAAAGUCUGACGGAGCAACGCCGCGUGAGUGAUGAAGGUUUUCGGAUCGU